GCCCCCCCCGACCAGAACGGAAACUUCAUAUUGGUUCCACUCCUGGUGCCCUUCCCCGAAGGGCCCAUCCAGGUAGAUCUGCAGGAGAAGGCAAGGUCACAGGUUAAUUCCACUUGUUUAAUUCCCACUAGCAUCUCGGUAGGAAUCAAUCCCCCUGCAGGAGGAUGAACCAGGGAAUGAUUAGGUUCACAUAUGAUGAGCAUUCGACUGGGCUUGUACUCGCUGGAGCUUAGAAGGAUGAGUGUAGCAACAUUAGCAGGGCUGCAGAAGAUUGGUGGCAUCUUGUGGCUGGAGAGUGUUUAACAGGAGCUUCUGUUGUGCUUAACCCCAGUCUUUCACUCGGACACAGUUUGUAGCCGUCCUUCCAUUAUAUUUGGAGAUCAGGAUUUAAGAAUAAUCUCCCAAAUGGGUGCAAGCCUGGAGAAUAUUUACAGUAACGUACUGAUGGAAUUAUGCUUAUUUUCUC